UGACAUUGGAAAAACUAAAUCAUGAAUCAAAUACUUGUGAUUCUGUGCAUAUUUGCCGUAUCUUAUAAUGUCGUACUUGUUAAGGCGAGACCAAGUCCAGAAGUUGUAGCCAACAAUGAAACCCAAUGGGAAGUUGUCGCCAACAAUGAAACUCAAUGGGUAAGU
rnacentral:sRNA from 1 species